UUUCUCUCCUAAGGACUGACAGGGCAGAACCUGAGCAAUGGGUUUUGGACUGAAUGGAAUUUUCAUUCUGAUUCUUUUACAAGGUGUCCAUUGUGAUGUUCAGCUGGUAGAGUCUGGGGGUGGUGUGAGAGAGACUGGAGGAUCUCUUAGCCUUUCCUGCAAAGCUUCUGGAUUCACCUUCAGCAGCUAUGGCAUGACCUGGGUCGGCCAGUCUCCAGGGAAGGGGCUGGAGUGGCUUGCAUAUAUUUAUAGUAAUGGAGGAACCACCUACUAUGCAGACUCUGUGAAAGGCCGAUUCACCAUCUCCAGGGACAACAGCAACAGCAUGCUGCACCUGAAAAUGAAUUCUCUUAAAGCUGAGGACACAGCCACGUAUUACUGUGCCAAUAACACAGUGAGAAAAAGAAGUGUCCAGUGUGAUGUGCAGCUGGUGGAGUCUGGGGGAGAUGUGACACAGCCUGGAGGUUCUCUGCAUCUCUCCUGCAAAGCUUCUGGAUUUACCUUCAGUAGCUACUGGAUGAACUGGGUCCUUUAA